AUUUAUAUAGUUUACAAUUAAAACAUUAUUUUUUCAUAAUAAAAUUAAAUCUUAUUUUAUAAAUA
rnacentral:tRNA from 1 species